rnacentral:rRNA from 1 species
GUAAAGUUCUUUUACGAGGGAUAAUUAUGAUAGUACUUCGUGAAUAAGUGACAGCAAACUAUGUGCCAGCAGCUGCGGUAAUACAUAGGUCGCGAGCAUUAUUCGGAUUUAUUGGGCGUAAAGCAAGCGCAGGCGGAUGUGUAAGUUCUGUGUUAAAUGCAGCUACUCAAUAGUUGUAUGCACCGAAUACUACAUGUCUAGAUUGUGGUAGGGAGUUUCGGAAUUAAGCAUGGAGCGGUGGAAUGUGUAGAUAUGCUUAAGAACACCAGAGGCGAAGGCGGAAACUUAGGCCAUAAAUGACGCUUAGGCUUGAAAGUGUGGGGAGCAAAUGGGAUUAGAUACCCCAGUAGUCCACACCGUAAACGAUGGGUAUUAGAUAUUAGGGCUUUAGCUUUAGUGUUGUAGCUUACGCGUUAAAUACCCCGCCUGGGUAGUACAUAUGCAAAUAUGAAACUCAAAGGAAUUGACGGGGACCUGAACAAGUGGUGGAGCAUGUUGCUUAAUUCGAUAAUACAC